rnacentral:rRNA from 1 species
UGAGUACGAGACGCUAAGGCGUUGAAGCAGUCUAUGUCAGACUUCCAAGAAAAGCCCGCAAUGUCAUAAACAAAAAGUGCCUGUACCAUAACCGACACAGGUGGGUAGGUAGAGUAUACUAAGGGGCGCGAGAUAACUCUCUCUAAGGAACUCGGCAAAAUGACUCCGUAACUUCGGGAGAAGGAGUGCCUUAUUUUUAUAAGGUUGCAAUAACAAGAUCCAAGCAACUGUUUACCAAAAACACAGGUCUCCGCUAAGUCGUAAGACGAUGUAUGGGGGCUGACGCCUGCCCAGUGCCAGAAGGUUAAAGAAGUUGGUUAGUUUCGGCGAAGCUGAUGACUGAAGCCCUGGUGAACGGCGGCCGUAACCAUAACGGUCCUAAGGUAGCGAAAUUCCUUGUCGGGUAAGUUCCGACCCGCACGAAAGGCGUAAUGAUUUGGAUACUGUCUCGGAGAGGGGCUCGGUGAAAUAGACUUGUCUGUGAAGAUGCGGACUACCUGCACCUGGACAGAAAGACCCUAUGAAGCUUUACUGUAACUUGAGAUUGAAAUUGGACUUUAUUUGCGCAGUAUAGGUGGGAGACGUUGAGAAUAUUCUUGCGGGAAUAUUGGAGUCAUCAGUGAGAUACCACUCUUGUAAUGUUAGAUUUCUAACUUUGUAUCAUUAUCUGGUCAAAGGACAGUUUCAGGCGGGCAGUUUGACUGGGGCGGUCGCCUCCCAAACGGUAACGGAGGCGCACAAAGGUUUCCUCUGAACGUGUAGAAAUCGUAUCUAGAGUGUAAAGGCAUAAGGAAGCUUGACUGUGAGACCUACAAGUCGAGCAGGGACGAAAGUCGGUCUUAGUGAUCUGACGGUGCUGAGUGGAAAGGCCGUCACUCAACGGAUAAAAGUUACUCUAUGGAUAACAGGCUGAUCUCCCCCAAGAGUUCACAUCGACGGGGAGGUUUGGCACCUCGAUGUCGGCUCAUCGCAUCCUGGGGCGGUAGUACGUCCCAAGGGUUGGGCUGUUCGCCCAUGAAAGCGGUACGCGAGCUGGGUUCAGAACGUCGUGAGACAGUUCGGUCCAUAUCCGGUGUAGGCGUUAGAAUAUUGAGAGGAGCCUUCUUUAGUACGAGAGGACCGAGAAGGACAUACCUCUGGUGUACCAGUUAUCGUGCCAACGGUAAACGCUGGGUAGCUAUGUAUGGAGUGGAUAACCGCUGAAAGCAUCUAAGUGGGAAGCCCACCUCAAGAUAAG